GACGAGCCACACGAACGUUAUUCGGAAUUACUGGGCUUAAAGGGUGCGUAGGCUGCGCGGCAAGUUGGGUGUGAAAUCCCUCGGCUCAACCGAGGAUCUGCGCCCAAAACUGCCGUGCUCGAGGAAGAUAGAGGUAAGCGGAACUUACGGUGGAGCGGUGAAAUGCGUUGAUAUCGUAAGGAACACCUGUGGCGAAAGCGGCUUACUGGGUCUUUUCUGACGCUGAUGCACGAAAGCUAGGGGAGCAAACGGG
rnacentral:rRNA from 1 species